GCCGGGCUGGGCUGGGCCCGCCGGGACCCGCGGCCCCGGGAGAGGAGCCGCGGGGGAGCGGGGUAGAGAUGAUUCUGGCGUUUCUUCGACUUAACCAGGCUCGUCUGCGCGAACCCAGCUGGGAUCUGCCGUUGAAGUGCCAUGUCCCUCCUGCAAAACAGAGAGCUGCGUGGCAGGAGGGGACCGCCGGGGAAACUUGGAAGCCAGCUGCAGAGACAGUGGGUCACAGGGAAAAAGCCAAGGUCUGGGGAGGAAGAGAAGCCUCAGCCCCUGUCUCAGUGCUAUCGAAUUAUUUCAAACUGGAAGUGAAGCUAUUACAAAAGUGAUCUUAAGUUUAGCCCUGUUAUCACCAGCUGAUCCCAUCCAGUUGUAUCAGCUGCCAUGUGAUUAAUGAGAAAUUUCACUUCUACUGUAUUUUCUGUUAAUGUAAGAAAUGAAACGCCCUAUGGGAAAGUGACCUUUAAUAAGACUGAACAGUCACUUGUAAUUUUCUUAACUACAUGUCAGCUGCAGAGUCAAAUUCUGUACUCACACAACCUGGUGCCACCAUCUCGUCAGUCACUGAGGUACUUGAUCUGCAAGAUCUUUAUUUUGGAUUAUGGCGAUGCAACACAGCUCUGUGCGGAAACAUCCAUACUACUUCCAAUAGCAGUUAUUUUAGCCAUGUGAGCAGACCUUAAGGCUAAUUGAACCUGACAAGGAAAUGAGUGUUAUCAUGGGCAGAAUACCCUGCUAAAAUAGAUCCAGGCUGUUUUGGCACUCAAGUGCAACAGGCUGCAUUACACAGGUUGGUGUAGAUAUAUGCCAGAUAAACACUUCUGCCCCCAUGGAGAGUUUAUGAGAGGAGACUGUCAGGAAAAUGAAGAUAUAAAGGAGUUUACUUGUAAUUACAGAAGAGUGGACUGAUCUAUCUGUUGAUACUAUUUUUUUGAGAGAACAGCAGCAUUUUACUGGACAGCCAGACAGAGAACUCAAAGCUAUACACACUGUUACGCAAUGGAGGGCUUGCAGAUUUUCUGUAAACUCUGAAAACUGGGCACGGAAAUGAGCAUCACUUCCCAGCGUCACACACGCAUCCCAUAACGAGCAGCUGGAAAAAUCAAAAGCCAGCACCGCGAGCUCCUGGCUACAAGAAGCCGCCCCGAGUUUAAUGACUGACGGAUCACCCGGCUAGCUGUCACUCCGAGCACCCGCGGAGGUGAAGCGGCGGCAGCCCCGCUUUCACCUGGCCUCCCCGCCGGAUCCCGGUCCCGGCGGGCGGGAGGGCUCUCUCCCGGGAAAAGGGGGACCGAGCCGGGCUGUCUCCCGCAGCCUUCCACCGCUGCUGCCUGCCGUGCCGCUAGCAGUCCCCAUUGAUUUAACGUGCUUAAACAUUUUAGGCAGGACUACGGUGUGACCACCUGCUUUGUCAUCGAUGGAAAGCCCAGCUAAGGAAGAACUAUAACGAUAUUACCGACUUCCGCACUCUCAUUUCAUUCUUGCUGACUGAUGCCAUUAAAACCCUGCUUUUCCAGGGCCCCGGAAGCAGCCUUGGAAGCUUUACCCGGGUUAUUCGUCUGCCAACAGAACACGCAGAAAGAGCACGCCCAGUGCUGACACCCCUCCACACACACCUCUUCUUUCAGCACUGAUAAGCGCUCGCUUCUCCUUUCCAGAGGCGUUUAUCGCUGCAGACCACAGAGGGAUCUUCCACCCUUCAGCAUCGGUAUGCGGCCACAAAGAAAUCUAACACAAUGAGAUUCCGCCGUUUUAACAGACAAUAACGUGCUAAGGACGACUGCAGCGCUUCAUCCUCACCCAGUGUAGCCACGGCUGCUGCAAACAUGUCCAGAUUGCUACAGGAAAUAAGAUUGAUUAGGAUGGAAAGCAGCUGGUCGAGAUCAGAGCCAAAGGAGACUCAAAUUAUAUUGGACAGAAAAGAGGAAUACUCAAAUCAGAAGUUGUCCAAGAUGUUUGUUGCCUUGCACAGGAAGGUCAGCCCUCAUCCAGCAAAGAGAGGCAGACUUGCACAGCCCACACUCAUUUUGGCUGUCCCAGUUGCAUACAUUUUCCAAAAUACUCUCUUUCACCUUCACCUUGUUGGGAAACUAUCUCAUCUUGCCCAGUGGAGUUUGACCAGAGGAAGGCAGGUAUUUUUCACAUCAGGCUGGAUUAGUUGCAACUCACUGUAUCAAGCUGAAAAUACUGUUUCCAAAUUCUUACUGGAAAUAAUAAUAAAAAAAGCGUUGCUUUGAAGCAAAGGCUUCAAGCUCGAGUCCUCCAAAUAGGUCCUAUUCAGCUUCAAUUGCCAGCAUAAGCUGGCACUGGCCCUGCUGGCCAAGGAACUGACAGACCAACCCCAACAGUAACACAACAGACUACAUGAAGAUCUGCAGACAACUGCAGCAGCUGCUUCCCUUUGCAACAGCCCCAGAACAAAACACAGUGGACCAGACGAAGUGUGCCUGUCUUGACGUUAUCUGUCAAGGAGACAAAGGAGAAUAAAUGAGUCCAGAGUAUGAUUGUUUUUAAGCAACAUUGCAGGUAACUCUCAGAACGGUUGAAAGAUAUUUUCCACUAUAAGAGACAUUCACAUUUUAUCACCAAACUCCAAAUGUCUUUGAUUAAAGAAAAAAUAAUUCUUCCCUGCCCUCCCCAAAAUUACAAACUAAAAAUCCAAACUAGACUUUGUGUAGUUCCAACCCAUCAAAUAGAGAAAGGUCCCCUCUCUGUUACCCAGGGGAAGCUGGGGUUGUUAUUAAUUUGAUGCAAAAAACUACUCAGACAUUUCAGUGAGGGAAGGAGUAUAAAAGACUAGCUUUGUUUAUCGACAACACUCACUUUACUCCUGCUUCCACAUAUCUUCUUCCAGAGCCAAUUCUUCCUUCCUGUUCAGAUCCACCUCUGUUCUCUCACUCAUUAAAACCUCCAAUCACCCUUUGUACUCAAGCUCUGCAUCCUCACUCGUGCUCCCUAUCCCAGCUCCCAGCCUAUCAGCCAUUUUAUUAUUUCAUAUUUCCCACAAAUCCUCAAUUCAAUGUAUCUGCUCAAGCAGUUUCAUUUUUUCACCACCUUUCUCCUUGUACCUAUCCCUGCCUUUCAUCCUCUUGAUUUUCUUCCUUUUCCCACCUUCCCUGAGUUUUUCAGCCAGUCCCAGGCCUGUACCUACUGUGUUUCUUUCCUUCUGCACCUCCCAGCCUGGACUGCCUUUGCUAGCCAAUUCCAACCUCCAUCCUUAACAGUCCAGUCCAGUGUUGCUUCAUUCUCACUCCAGUCCUGGCUAGCCUGGCACCCAGUUUCUGGCUGCAGCUGCUUUAUCAUAGAAUCAUAGAAUCCUAGGGGUUGAAAGGGACCUCAAAAGAUCAUCUAGUCCAACCCCCCUGCCAGAGCAGGGUCAUCUAGAGCACAUCACACAGGAACGCAUCCAGGUGAGCUUUACAAUUACAACUUCUGCUGGAAAUUAGAGUAAAAUGUCAGUACAGAAUGCUAGCAAGUUUUUAAACUGUGUUCCUCUUAAGAUGUACUUCAGUAGAAUGAAAACAUUUGUAAACUUAACUUUGUAUCAAUGGUACAUUUUGGUGAGGAUUUAAAUGUACUCCUAAAUAAUAAUCCUUAUAAAAUGUUAAACUAUUGUCAGGGUUUUUACUAGAACAUUACUAAGGGUAGGAAUCAUUAACAGUUAGGAAGGAAGGUGCAAGUAAUUUAAAACCUAGAAGUUAUUUACAAUUAUUUUGUCUCUGUGUAAAUAAUUUUAUUUGUUCUUAAGUUUUCUAUGUCACAAAUUUGUAUACCACAGAAGUUAUAGUACUCUAAUAGCAGCCACUGUAAUACAUAAUUCUUUGACAUGCUGGAUUGCCUAUUAUACCACACAGUGUGCUAAUUUAUAAUUUGUAUUAUUUUCACUCUCUGUUAAAACACAGGCCAAGAAUACAUCUAAAACUAACAGCUGUGUAGUACCUGUAUUUUUAGUGACUGACGUGUCCUGGAAAGAGAGAUAAGAAGUUGUGUAAAAGUAGCAGAAACUGCCUCCUUUCACCUAUUUUAAUUGCGUCUUUAAAUAAUGUAUUUUGCCUUUUGCUGUUCUCUAAAAUACUUCACAUAUAUCUGACAUUAUGGCCCUGCUGUUUAAAGAAAGCUUUUAAACACACUUAUACUUUAAAGCACCUACUCAAGCUCCAUUUACUUCAAUGGAGGAUACAUGCUCUUAAAUUUACACACCUAAAGUGUGUCUCCCUGAAGACUCAUCCCUGAGGAAAGCCCCCGUUUCAUAAUAAGGAAAGCGUACAUGUGCCACAUGAAAAAAUUAUUGGAAUUCCUGGGCUUUUCAGGAAAGCUUAAAAGAAACUCCUACUUUAAAAUGCAAAAUUAUCAGCCCUGCCAAAGGUACUUCUUUUCUCACUUUGAGAAUCAUAUAUGCAGAGGAUCCAGAACAAUCUAUUUUGGAGACAAACUGCAUUUUUUUUUUUAUUUUAUUUUUUAGUUUACACUGUUUCAAUGAAAAGUUUCUGCAAAAAAGAAUUUCAAGGAAAAAAUUCUAAGAGAGUGAAAAUAAGCCUGCAAUAGCUUAGAAAUAAGAUUCAAGACUCCUGGGUUUUGCUUCUCUUUUUGGAUUGCCACUAAGUUUUAGUACGUUUGAUGAGUUUGGGUCAGCCUCCACUCCUGUCGUUCCUCUCCUGCAAAGACUUACCAACCAUUUAGUUUCACUGAGUACAUGCCUGCUUUUAUAUAUGGAAACCUGGCUGUAAUUCCCUCUGUAUCAUCCAGGAUUCUCUUAUUAUAAUGUCAUUUGUACUGCCUAUGCAUGCACUGCUGGAACUCAUGACCCAACUUUCACAUGGGGUCCUACAGAACAUGAAAGAGUAAAUAACAUUAUAUAAAAUAGUGCUAACUCUUUCUUUUGUAUAGUCUAGUGAGUUUCUUCUGGUGGAAAAAGAGUGCUACACAAAAAUCCUCUAACAGCACCCUACAGUGACAUCCUAAAGUUCCACUCCUAUUUCUAUCUUGUUUGCUUCAUUGUUUAUUAGGAAUAACAUUUAAAAUAUGGUUAAUAUUUUAAUAUAAUUUUUAUUUAAAAAAUGUAAAGUCCAUUGCCUUUUAAAGACUGGAAGUUUAAAAUAAUUUUAGUUGCCUGAUACAUAGCUAAGAACAGUUCCAGAGACAUAAGAUGCAUUGUAGCUGUAACCAUAGUCUAAAUUUUUUCUUACCAGCUUUCAAGUGCUCAUAUACAGCAGUUCACUUUCUUAAGGUGGAAACAGGACUUGAAAUAUUACACCAAAAAAGCAGUGCUCCUAUAUCACUGACACUGUAAAAAUCCUAAACAGAAACUGAGGUAGCUUUUUAAACAACAGUACUCUAUUUUACAUUAUGUUGUAAUUUGUAUGACUCACGUGCUUAAUACUGGAUAAUUACAUUCUCAUUUGUUUCAAUGUAUGAGAUGAUAAAGGACAAUGACAAAAUAGCACUAUAUGUUGGCAUAGUCACAGAUCUCCCAUUGUCAAGAGAACUUCAGCUUCUCAUCGACGUCUCUAAGCUUAUGUCUUUUCUUCUAUUUCUCAGGACAGCAUUACAUUGUUUUUCUUAAGCAGAUGCUAGCAGUUUGGAGUGCACUAAAGGGUUAACUGAAACAGAAACUGAGUCCUAGCACCCGACAGAGAAUAGGGUUGCCCUGGUUUGAGCCAGGAUGAAGCCAAUUUUCCUUUUACUGAUUUUUUUUUUUCCUUCAGUAAGCUCUCUUUUAACUAGCACCAAGUUCUCCAGAUAGUGGACUGAUAAUGCUGGAAUGUUUAUAUUGCUGCCAGGACUUUAAGGUCACUGCUCCAUUUGAGUCUGUGGCUUCACAUGCUAAAGGAGCAGAAGAAUCACAUCUGUAACCCCCCGUAGGGAGGAGUGGACAAGAAGGACAGCAACAUUGACUGAAGUAUUCCAUUCCAUAUAUCUAUGUAAGUUCAGUGUAAGGUCAGGGAUCAUGGAAGUCAAGCCUCUUCAUGCUGCUUCUUCCCUUCUCUUCCAUCCGUGGCCAGCACCCAGGGAGGAUUCCAUCUAUCCAUGACCAUUGAUCCCCAGGCCCGUGCAUUCCUGACCCUCACAACUCUCCCCUCAGCUCCUGUCUGUUCUGCCGCUCUCUCCAGCAGCUCUGGGACAUUUUGGGACUGCUCACAGCUCAGGAGAUGCCACAGGAGUUGCUGGGGGUGGGGGGAGGCAAUAGGGUUUUGCACAUUCCUGCACAUACUUGUAUAUAAUUGUACAUAUUUUCUUUUGUCAUUAGUAUUUAAUUAAAGCUGUGUAGUUUUUCAA